rnacentral:rRNA from 1 species
UACGAAGGGGGCUAGCGUUGUUCGGAAUUACUGGGCGUAAAGGGCGCGUAGGCGGUACUUCAAGUCAGGGGUGAAAUCCUGGAGCUCAACUCCAGAACUGCCUUUGAUACUGAAGAUCUUGAGUCCGGGAGAGGUGAGUGGAACUGCGAGUGUAGAGGUGAAAUUCGUAGAUAUUCGCAAGAACACCAGUGGCGAAGGCGGCUCACUGGCCCGGUACUGACGCUGAGGCACGAAAGCGUGGGGAGCAAACAGG